AUUGAACGCUGGCGGCAUGCUUUACACAUGCAAGUCGGACGGCAGCGGGGGUGCUUGCACCUGCCGGCGAGUGGCGAACGGGUGAGUAACAUAUUGGAAUGUACCGAGUAGUGGGGGAUAACCAAUCGAAAGAUUGGCUAAUACCGCAUACGUCCUGAGGGGGAAAGCAGGGGAUCUUCGGACCUUGCGCUAUUUGAGCAGCCAAUAUCUGAUUAGCUAGUUGGUGGGGUAAAGGCCCACCAAGGCGACGAUCAGUAGCGGGUCUGAGAGGAUGAUCCGCCACACUGGGACUGAGACACGGCCCAGACUCCUACGGGAGGCAGCAGUGGGGAAUUUUGGACAAUGAGGGCAACCCUGAUCCAGCCAUGCCGCGUGUCUGAAGAAGGCCUUCGGGUUGUAAAGGACUUUUGUUAGGGAAGAAAAAGGAAGUGUUAAUACCACUUUUUGCUGACGGUACCUAAAGAAUAAGCACCGGCUAACUACGUGCCAGCAGCCGCGGUAAUACGUAGGGUGCGAGCGUUAAUCGGAAUUACUGGGCGUAAAGCGAGCGCAGACGGUUACUUAAGCAGGAUGUGAAAUCCCCGGGCUCAACCUGGGAACUGCGUUCUGAACUGGGUAGCUAGAGUAUGUCAGAGGGGGGUAGAAUUCCACGUGUAGCAGUGAAAUGCGUAGAGAUGUGGAGGAAUACCGAUGGCGAAGGCAGCCCCCUGGUAUAAUACUGACGUUCAUGCUCGAAAGCGUGGGGUAGCAAACAGG
rnacentral:rRNA from 1 species